rnacentral:lncRNA from 1 species
CUAAUUUUUUUAUUGGAUUUCAGGCAUCUUGUGUAAAAAGUCCAGGAGAUAAUUAGAUGCAUCAUUUUUACAGCCAGAAAACUCCAUUCCUCUUGUGUCAGAAGGUCAGUUUGGGCCUUGGGUCCAUCUACUCUGUGGCUGAGUUCAAUCUGGGAUUUACUUUUCCUAACUAGAGUCCAUUCACUCUGAGCUGCUAAUAAUUUGAAAGCAGUGUGAGAAGAGUGUCUGAGGAGAAAUGACCUCAGCAGAGGCUUAGAAGAUGCUGUCCUGUGGGCUCCAGGAUCUUCUGAAACGUAAUUGCAUAUACUUCCCAUUUUCAGAGACACAGAAGGACAUCUUUUUCACGUCUUCCCUGACUUACCGCGUUGGCAGGAGGAGAUUAAUCAAAGAUAUCUAUGCUGUCUGAUGUACAGUCGGUUACACAGCUGCAGUGCCAUUGAUCAAGUUUUGGUGGAAUCACGGAAUCCCAGCCUCCGCAGCAGCGCCGUGGCCGGAGCAGAAACAAACCCCAGGACCGCGUGCUGCUCAGAGCAACAUCGGUGAGGGAGCCUGCGUUCCGCUGCUUUCACGAAGUCUCCAUUGUCAGCCUUUUAUCCAUGCAGAGUCUCAGUCUUAUCAGCACUGGUUUGCUUAUGAUUUAAUCCAUGUUUUAUUGUACAUUUUACAUAUACCAAGCCCUUUUUCAUUUAAUUAAAUGUGAUCUUAUUUAAUACUCACAAUGAUGAGUGAAAUAAGUCUGAAAGUAUUUAAAGAGUAUUGUGAGCUCUUGCCCUGUCCCAGGCCCCUGUAACAGAUGUGUCAAAAUACAGAUACUGUAUUGUAGGUACUUUCUUCAGCUCUCAUCGGAACCAAAGUUCAAGAUGUUUUUCUACAUAAUUCAGUCUAUGAAACAUGCAGCGAACAUUCCGGGGGUAGGGGGCUUAGGAAAUGAUAGAGACCAAUGGUCAGGCUGUCCCACUAACCAGUUUGCAUAAGUUUCUUUUGUAUGUCUGGUGUCCGCUCCUUCAAUUAAAAUGUGUUUGUCUUUUCGGUUGUUACGUCCAUAUUUUUGGUUCUAUUGUUCUCACUUAAAGAUAUAGUCACUUUUU